GAACCUGCGGAGGGAUCAUUACAGAGUUGCAAAACUCCCUAAACCAUUGUGAACGUUACCUAUACCGUUGCUUCGGCGGGCGGCCCCGGGGUUUACCCCCCGGGCGCCCCUGGGCCCCACCGCGGGCGCCCGCCGGAGGUCACCAAACUCUUGAUAAUUUAUGGCCUCUCUGAGUCUUCUGUACUGAAUAAGUCAAAACUUUCAACAACGGAUCUCUUGGUUCUGGCAUCGAUGAAGAACGCAGCGAAAUGCGAUAAGUAAUGUGAAUUGCAGAAUUCAGUGAAUCAUCGAAUCUUUGAACGCACAUUGCGCCCGCCAGCAUUCUGGCGGGCAUGCCUGUUCGAGCGUCAUUUCAACCAUCAAGCCCCCGGGCUUGUGUUGGGGACCUGCGGCUGCCGCAGGCCCUGAAAAGCAGUGGCGGGCUCGCUGUCGCACCGAGCGUAGUAGCAUACAUCUCGCUCUGGUCGCGCCGCGGGUUCCGGCCGUUAAACCACCUUUUAACCCAAGGUUGACCUCGGAUCAGGUAGGAAGACCCGCUGAACUUAAGCAUAUCAAUAAG
rnacentral:rRNA from 1 species